AUAAAAUACACUUUCGCCCUGAAUUAUUAUAACGUUAAAGCACUCGGACGCAAGCGUCCUCGUACUUUAAAUAUAAUAUAUAUAAAAGUCUUC